UGUCUUGAAGGAGAACAGCGGCAGUGG
rnacentral:piRNA from 1 species